rnacentral:lncRNA from 1 species
CUCCAUUUAAAUUGAAAAGUAAUAUAGAAAACAUUGCUAGGAUGAUUAUUAAGUUGAUUCAUGUGAAAUGACCCAUCUUGGUUAGCAGCAAUUUUAUGUGGUUCAAUCUGAUAUAACUAGCUUGUUUCCUCCUGAAAGAGAUUGCCUAAAAAUUAAUAUGAACAGUGAAGUUCAGUAAUUCACAAGGUUGACAUGAGGAAUCUUGAGAAAAUGGUUUGUAUUCUUGUUGGCUUAGAUUUUGAACAUCCAUCCUGAAAUGUUCGUGCUCCACCUUUUAGUCUUUAUUCUCACUUGUUUCUGGGACAAAAUUCUAUCAUUUGCUUGGAGGGAGGUGACUUGUAUUAUUUAAUUCAGUAUGUUUUGUGACUGGCGCAUCCUUUGUAUUCAGGAGGGCUGUCCAGACCAGUGAACCCUGCAUAGAGCCUAAGAGUUAUUCCAGCUUAAAAUAAAGACUUACCCUGAACCACAAAAUUCUAUUAAAAAUGAGGUAAGCACACCAGAUACCAUCAGUUUUUAUUUUCUUUACUGUCAUGGCAUCUACUCCUGCAGAAGUAACUCCUGAAAGGAGAGGGAAGAGGGGUUAAAGGUGACCUGUAAUGAAGAGGAAUCCUUGUAAAGUCUUAAGGGGAAAUGGUGUGACCAGAAACAUAUCAAUAAUCAAUGAAAAAUAGACCCACAUUUCAGUUAAGCAUUUUCCAUUAUUGUAUUACAGACAAGAAUGAAUGCUAAUUGACCACAAAACAGGAAAAUCCUUUAUACAUAUUUUCAGUGUCAUUUAGACUUUUCCUGUAUGUGCACUCUCGAGUUAGAAGCAGUCCGGAGCCCCUGUUCUGUUAGUCUAGGUGUUUCCUUCACUGACCCAGCUUUAAUCAAGUAGAUGCUUGGUGUCAACGUUCUGGGUUCAAAGGUGCCAGCCUUGUCCCGACCUCUUACUGCUCUGUGACACUGAACAGAUGAGCUCUUGAAAUCUCAUCUCCCGUAACAGUGGUGACUGCCUCAUUAUACUCAACUGAAGUCUGUUCAUAUGCCUAUUACAUAAAUGGCACUCAAAAAUGGUAACUUUGGUCAUGACUGAUUAGGCUCCUUAAGAAGGAAGAAGAUGCUCUUGUACCAACUACCAACGUAACCCAGCAGGUACCCCACAUAGAACUCUGGUCAGAAAUGUGCUUCUAGCUACUGUCUUCCUCUAAAAUGCAAACAAAACUGUACUAGUUUGCCGUGAAACUUGACUUUGCUAGAGCGAUGUCUCUG